rnacentral:lncRNA from 1 species
UUGAUUCAACUCGAAAACGACCUAUACUUUUGGAUGCCCUAAGUUUUGGGUUAGAUGUUUUUUUUUUAUUGUGUGGUCCAUUUAUUUGUAAUUAAGUGGUAGCCCAUCUGUAGAGAAGACUGUGGCCCAAUCUAUAUGAGUGACCUAAUGUCUUGCUAUAUAUAUGUUUUGUUCCUAGCCGUGUCUUCGUGUGUGUGUAGUAUGCAAGAGAGAAAACAAGAAAAGAAAAGAGAAAAGCAGUCGACUUUCUUCGGAGUUAGAGAGCUUGGAGUGUUUUUUGGUGUCUUCCUUUAUCUUUCUCCUUCCUUUGCCGAGUGCAUACACCACCACCAUAGUCUCCUUUGUGGAGUGAAACUUGUAGUGACCAAGUGUGGAAGUUUUAGGUCGAAUCGAGAUAAACUGGUGUUCGUUUGAUUGUUUUCUCCUCCAAAAUCAAGAUUUCUUGAGAGAUUUCCAUGACAAUUGUGAUGUAAAGGAAGAGUUUCCCAAGCGGUCAAACUUCAUGGAAGUGGUGCCUCUACUUUAUUCCAGUUUUUACCAAAAAAGGAAAAGGCCCAAAUUUGCAUAAGAAAUUAUGUCUUCAAACUGGGCAAUUCAGCUCCUAUUUUUCUAAGUGAGAUAAUUGAAAUGAGAAUUCACGCAGCAAUUCUCUUAUUAUCUGUUUUAAUCCUUAAAGUUGUUGUCCAUAUCACAAGAGAUUAUGCAUAAUUUCUCUGACAUGUUAGCUCGAACAACUUUCUUACUUGAGUUUUAUUGCCUAUGUCUGUGAACUUAUCAUCUGAACAAAAUUUAGUGCAUAUUUCAGGGUCAUUCGCAGGUUUUGGAUUUUUGUCAUUGUACUUAUCUUGUAAAAUUAAAGCGUUUGAUCAGAGGGGUCAUGUAGCAAAACUAUGCAUUGUUUUUCUUCCUAUCCUUGUUGUAUAUCUUGUUGGCAUUUCCCGUGUGGAUAACUCCUGGCAUCAUUGGCAAGAUGUGUUUGUCGAGGGUCUUUUAGGUUGGUUCUUUGCUGUCUGUUAAAUUACUAAAGUUAAGUCGACCAGAUUAUUUUUCAUCUUCACAUGCAUUACAUCUCUACAUCUGUAUACCUUUUCAGGUCUUGUCGUUGCUACAUUUUGCUAUCUAUAGUUUUCCCACCUCCACAUCACACUGAAGGUAGAAUUUCCACUUCGUUCAUAUUCUAUAUUUUGCUCCAUUUAAGACUCCACAGUGUGAAUUCUGUUUUGCUGGAUACACAUACAACACUGAUACAUUAUUACGAAGAACCUGUAGCGAAAUUGAAGAGUUUUCAGUUACUAUUGAAUCCCAUUACACAAAUUAUCAUUGACGCUGAUUUUGUUGGGUUAGCUUUUUGAUAGGGAAGACAUUCCAAGGACGAAAUGCCCUAGCAGUGAAUAGAUUGUCUCUUUCAUCAUUUUACAAUAGAAAAAAGUAGUAUAGAUAUGAAAAAUGUGAAAUUUCAAAUGACACAGGAAACAAUAUUUAAUCUAAGGAGAAGUUUCUGUGUUGCAAUGCACUUUCGCAGAAUGGGGUCCUUAUGCCUAUUUCUGAGCGGAGGAGGAAUUUGGUUCCAACCUACAAACAGUCUAAUCUGUGAAUGGAAGUAGCAAGCAACGGGUAAAUCGGCAAUCUAUGCCGAGCAACGUGACAUAAAAUCACAAUUUGAAUGAUGACAUGGAGUGGAGUCUGGUAGAAGGUAGAUAAAAAAUGUUAUUUAGCUCCAAUGGAGUUACAAACUCAGUCUAGAUGGCGUUAAUGUAACAUUAACCUUUCAUUUAAUCUAUUACCAAACAUAAAGACGGGGGUUAUAACCCCAGUGAAACUAAAUAGCAUUAUUCGGCAAUUUGGAAAAUAUCUUUGUUGUUUUGUAUUUGAAA